rnacentral:rRNA from 1 species
AUUGAACGCUGGCGGCAUGCCUUACACAUGCAAGUCGAACGGUAACAGGUUAAGCUGACGAGUGGCGAACGGGUGAGUAAUGUAUCGGAACGUGCCCAGUCGUGGGGGAUAACUGCUCGAAAGAGCAGCUAAUACCGCAUACGACCUGAGGGUGAAAGCGGGGGAUCGCAAGACCUCGCGCGAUUGGAGCGGCCGAUAUCAGAUUAGGUAGUUGGUGAGGUAAAGGCUCACCAAGCCGACGAUCUGUAGCUGGUCUGAGAGGACGACCAGCCACACUGGGACUGAGACACGGCCCAGACUCCUACGGGAGGCAGCAGUGGAGAAUUUUGGACAAUGGGCGCAAGCCUGAUCCAGCCAUGCCGCGUGCGGGAAGAAGGCCUUCGGGUUGUAAACCGCUUUUGUCAGGGAAGAAAAGGUUCUGGCUAAUACCUGGGACUCAUGACGGUACCUGAAGAAUAAGCACCGGCUAACUACGUG